rnacentral:lncRNA from 1 species
GAAGAAGCUGAGAGCCGGCGAGCAGCGGCUCAACGGGGAGGCCAAGAUUCCCUUCCUUUUGCAGGUGGAGGACUUGCGGUACCUGCUCGAGGUGGUCUGGGCGUCCCGCUCGGCCCUCCAAGCCAGCAGCGACCUCUACAACCUGGUGUUCGUCCGCUGGGAGCGUCGGACGGACUGGAGCCCCUGGAACUGCAUCCUGCUGUCCAAGGAAGAGACUUCAGCUCACCUGGAGGUGGAAGACGUCCACAAGGUGUACGAGGCCACCUUCAUCCGCAGGAUCGAACACAAACACAUGCUGGCUCGGCGCCACUUCAGCCAGAUCCCCGUCAUGGUCGAGUACCUGGACCCUCCGCCGUCCGUGGCGACAGGCCAGCGCCCCGCCGACGCCCCGCCGGCCUCGGCUCAUUAAGAAACACACUGCGGGGUUUUCUUCAUUUUCUUCUGUCUACCGUUUCUUC